CAAAACAUCAGAAGGAUCACCUGCUUCUGGACCACUGUUGACCAGAGGCUAAUCCAGACUUUUCAAGUCAAGAUCUAAGCAAAACAACAGAGAGGACAGCUGAGCCAAAGUCAGAGGCCUCGUAUCUGUAGAAUGAAGACCCAUGAACACAGAGAAUCUUGUUUGAUUUGUUUACCAAUGAGCCCUCAUGCCUAGAACUGUGUUUGGUAACAUGAAGAUAAAUCUCCUUGAAAGUUACCAUCUCUGUACCGGGAGGAAGAAGAUGUCCUCAGCACCAGAGACAGAAUUUAGGGCCAAGAAGAUUGUAAAAGCAAAAAUUGUUACUUCUUCAUCAUUUUACCACCCCUAACUCAAGCUCUUACAUCUUAUCGAUCCUUCACAAAUUUAUUGUUUCACUGUCUGAAAGGUAUAAAAUCAGCCUGCUCUUUUCAGUUCUUUGAGUCUCAU